CCCUUAGAUGUUCUGGGCCGCACGCGCGCUACACUGAUACACCCAACGAGUCUCCUCCUCGACCGAAAGGUCCGGGUAAUCUUGUGAAAGUGUAUCGUGAUAGGGCUUGACGAUUGUAAUUAUUUGUCACAAACGAGGAAUUCCUAGUAAGCGCAAGUCGUCAACUUGCACUGAAUACGUCCCUGCCCUUUGUACACACCGCCCGUCGCUCCUACCGAUUGAGUGGUCCGGUGAGGCUUUGGGAUCUGAGCGGAAAGAGCGUUUCGCUGUUUCUGCCCGGAAAACUCAGUCGAACCAUAUCAUUUAGAGGAAGGAGAAGUCGUAACA
rnacentral:rRNA from 1 species